UUCGAUGCAACGCGAAGAACCUUACCUGGUCUUGACAUCCACAGAACUUUCCAGAGAUGGAUUGGUGCCUUCGGGAACUGUGAGACAGGUGCUGCAUGGCUGUCGUCAGCUCGUGUUGUGAAAUGUUGGGUUAAGUCCCGCAACGAGCGCAACCCUUAUCCUUUGUUGCCAGCGGUUAGGCCGGGAACUCAAAGGAGACUGCCAGUGAUAAACUGGAGGAAGGUGGGGAUGACGUCAAGUCAUCAUGGCCCUUACGACCAGGGCUACACACGUGCUACAAUGGCGCAUACAAAGAGAAGCGACCUCGCGAGAGCAAGCGGACCUCAUAAAGUGCGUCGUAGUCCGGAUUGGAGU
rnacentral:rRNA from 1 species